rnacentral:misc_RNA from 1 species
GAUGAAGAACGUAGCGAAAUGCGAUACGUAAUGUGAAUUGCAGAAUUCAGUGAAUCAUCGAAUCUUUGAACGCAUAUUGCGCUCUCUGGUAUUCCGGAGAGCAUGCUUGUUUGAGUAUCAGUAAACACCUCAACUUCCAUAUCUUUUUUGAAAUGGGAGUUGGACUUGAGUGAUCCCAACGCUUUUCCUCACCGAAAAGUGGCGGGUUACUUGAAAUGCAGGUGCAGCUGGACUUUUCUCUGAGCUAUAGGCAUAUCUAUUUAGUCUGCCUAAAAAACAGAUUAUUACCUUUGCUGCAGCUAACAUAAAGGAGAUUAGUUCUUGUGCUGACUGAUGCAGGAUUCACAAAGACAGGCUUCGGCCGACUUUGUAAACUCGAUCUCAAAUCAAGUAAGACUACCCGCUGAACUUAAGCAUAUCAAUAAGCGGAGGA